AUUAAAAAGGUCAAGACUUAUUAGCGAUGGCUUUUUUUAUUAUUAACGAUGGUAAUGCCAUUGCUAUAAAUUUAAUUUUAAAUAAUUAGUAUUAGUGAUGGCUUUAGCGAUACAAAUUAACCAUCGCUAAUAUUCUACUCUCAAAAUCGCCCCUAUCCCCGACCGUUUGGUUUUAUUCUCCACCGCCUCCCCCUUCUUCCCCCACCUUCGGUCCCCUUUCUUCCUCCGCCGCACCACCAAAGCCCCUGUCCCCAUGCCCCA
rnacentral:lncRNA from 1 species